CACGUAGUUAGCCGGUGCUUAUUCUUUAGGUACCGUCAUCACUAAUUUUUAUUAAAAACUAGCUUUUCUUCCCUAACAAAAGUACUUUACAACCCUAAGGCCUUCUUCAUACACGCGGCAUGGCUGGAUCAGGGUUUCCCCCAUUGUCCAAAAUUCCCCACUGCUGCCUCCCGUAGGAGUCUGGGCCGUGUCUCAGUCCCAGUGUGGCGGAUCGUCCUCUCAGACCCGCUACGGAUCAUUGCCUUGGUGAGCCAUUACCCCACCAACUAGCUAAUCCGACAUCGGCCGAUCAAAUAGCGUAAGGCCUUAUUUAGGUCCCCUACUUUCCUCCUUAGAGCUUACGCGGUAUUAGCCAAACUUUCGUUUGGUUAUCCCCCACUACUUGGCACGUUCCGAUGCUAUACUCACCCGUUCGCCACUCGCCGACAGAGAAGCAAGCUUCUCCUCGCUGCCGUUCGACUUGCAUGUGUAAAGCAUGCCGCCAGCGUUCAAUCUGAGCCAGGAUCAAACUCU
rnacentral:rRNA from 1 species